rnacentral:rRNA from 1 species
CCUACGGGAGGCAGCAGUCGAGAAUCAUUCACAAUGGGGGAAACCCUGAUGGUGCGACGCCGCGUGGGGGAAUGAAGGUCUUCGGAUUGUAAACCCCUGUCAUGUGGGCGCAAAUUAAAAAGAUAGUACCCCAAGAGGAAGAGACGGCUAACUCUGUGCCAGCAGCCGCGGUAAUACAGAGGUCUCAAGCGUUGUUCGGAAUCACUGGGCGUAAAGCGUGCGUAGGCUGUUUCGUAAGUCGUGUGUGAAAGGCGCGGGCUCAACCCGCGGACGGCACAUGAUACUGCGAGACUAGAGUAAUGGAGGGGGAACCGGAAUGCUCGGUGUAGCAGUGAAAUGCGUAGAUAUCGAGAGGAAAACUCGUGGCGAAGGCGGGUUCCUGGACAUUAACUGACGCUGAGGCACGAAGGCCAGGGGAGCGAAAGGGAUUAGAUACCCGAGUAGUC